rnacentral:rRNA from 1 species
AUGGCCAUGGCGGCCGCCGAGGCCUCCGACCACGCGGCGCCGUCCAGGGUCCCGCUCCCGGCCACCCGGCAGGAGGUCCAGGCCGCCGUCGCCAAGGCCGUCGAGCUGCGCGCGCUCCACGCCGCCCUCCGCCAGCGCGCCGCACCGCCCAAUGCCGGCGCCCGCGCCAGCGCCAGCCGCAGCCCGGCCACCAUCCGCCUCCCGCCGGCCGCGUCCCCCGCGCGCUCCCGGACCACGGUCACCGCCGCCGUAGACGAGGACUACCCCGUGUUUACUCCGACUUACGACGAGGAGCCCAUGGCGAUGGCGGCUGGACUCAACGACAUCUGCCAUGACAAUCGGAGCCGGUCCGAGAACUGGGGCGGCAUCACCUUGGACCGCGGCGGCGUCGGCGACGAGGCGGCCUACUCGGACUACGACGACUGCAUCAACGGCUUCUCCUCCUGCAACAGCGACUUCCACUACGCCAGCGAGAAUCACCUCCGGAGCAGAGGCGUGAACCGGAUCCAUCCGGCCUUUCUGCAGUCCGCGCCGCUUGCCGGCCGUUUCCCGGCGUCGGCCGGGAGAGUGGCAGAGUUCAAGGUGCCGUCCUCGUCCGGCGGCGCAUUCCGGCCGGCGACGAUCGGCAGGGACAACGGUGGGAGCGACGCCGAAGCCCUGAGAUUCCUCGGCAGCAGCAACAGGGUGCCAUUCUCGUCCAGCAACCAGCCCCCGCCAUCGGCGCACUCCCGGGCAAAGCAGAGAGGGUCGCAGAUCCUCUCAUGGCUCUUCGCCAAGGCGAAGAAGAAGGCAAAGCCGGAGACACCGCCGCCGACCGCCGCCGUCAUCGAGCGCGGGAACAUGUCACAGCUCCUCAAGGAGUGGGGGCUGCUGUCGCUAGACUCCCUCAGGAAGGAGCUCGCGGAGGCCAACGCGCACCGGGACGCCGCGCAGGAGGACGCCGCCGAGAUGAGGUCGUCGCUGGGCGAGCUGACCACCAAGAUGAUGAGCCUGGAAGCCUACUGCUCGGAGCUCAAGAAGGCCCUGCGGCAAGCGACGGACCACAGCGGCGGCACCGACACGCAGUCCCACUCGCGGCGGUCGUCGUCGAGGUCGAUCGGGGCGAGCCGAGAGCUGCCGGGCAACGGCAUGCCGGUGAGCCACGAGGCCAUGGUGGAAGGGUUCCUGCAGAUCGCCUCCGAGGCGCGCCUCUCCGUGAAGCAGCUCUGCAAGGCGCUGAUCCAGCAGGUGGAGGAGCCGGACAACGGGCUGUCAGACAAGCUGAACCAGCUGCUCCGGCCGCACCAGCUCGCCAUCGCCGGCCGGCACUGCUCCAAGGCCGUGCUGUACCACCUGGAGGCGAUCAUGAACCAGACUCUCUACCAGGACUUCGAGAACCCGAGCUUCCAGCGGAACGGCGCGGCGAGGCACCUGGACCCGGGGCAGGGCCGGCGGGAGAGCUUCGCGUCCUUCGUGGCGCUGCGCAACCUGAGCUGGAGCGAGGUGCUGCGGAAGGGCACCAGGUACUACAGCGAGGACCUCAGCCGGUUCUGCGACCAGAAGAUGAGCUGCGUGGUGGCCGCGCUGAGCUGGUCGUGGCCGUGGCCGGAGCAGCUGCUGCAGUGCUUCUUCGUCGCCACCAAGUGCGUCUGGCUGCUCCACCUGCUCGCCUUCUCCUUCGCGCCGCCGCUGCCCAUCCUGCGGGUCGAGGACGGCCGGGCGUUCGACCAGGCGUACAUGGAGGACAUCCUGCCGGACCGGCGGCAGGUCCAGGAUCCGUUGAGGGUGAAGGUCAUGGUGAUGCCGGGGUUCUAUGUCCAAGAUCGAGUGCUCAAGUGCAAGGUCCUCACAACAAAACAGCUAGACCAGUAG